GAUGAAGAACGCAGCGAAAUGCGAUAAGUAGUGUGAAUUGCAGAAUUCAGUGAAUCAUCGAAUCUUUGAACGCACAUUGCGCCCCUUGGUAUCCCGAGGGGCAUGCCUGUUCGAGCGUCAUUUCACCACUCAAGCCUGGCUUGGUGUUGGGCGACGUCCUCUUUGGGGACGCGCCUCGAAACGCUCGGCGGCGUGGCACCGGCUUUAAGCGUAGCAGAAUCUUUCGCUUUGGAAGUCGGGGCCCCGUCUGCCGGAAGACCUGCUCGCAAGGUUGACCUCGGAUCAGGUAGGCAUACCCGCUGAACUUAAGCAUAUCAAUAAGCGGAGGA
rnacentral:misc_RNA from 1 species